CGGUGAUGCCGGCAUUCGGUAUUCGGUAGUCGGUGAUGCCGGCAGUCCAUAUUUCGUGGGUGUGAUAAGUGUUGCAGCAAGCCAACAAUAAAAAAUGGAAUCUAAAUCGAUAUCUUUUCUCCUUGUGUUUCCCACCCGUGCAGAUAUCGGAAGCGAUCAAACGAGUAAUUCGUGUGAGUGCUGAUGCAUUAUCAGUCGAUACGUACAAGAACCUCGAACCUACUCAAACAAUAGCCGGUUUGUCGCAGCUGGGAGAAAAUUCUCCCGGCGGGCUGCUCCAGUCCGUACCGGAUGAUGAUCCACCGCUGAUCAAGUUCCGUGCCCUGCAGUACGCAUUAUUUAGCACCUGCUUCGUUGAGAUCCUUGUUCUUCCUGAUAACAGCGAUGUACAUCGAUCGGUAUGGGGCACGGGUAGAGGCUGUUGUACUAGAAGUACCGUUACGAAUCGAAGACUGUUCGAAGGUGGUCGCGGUUGAGGAGAAGUCCUAUUCAAACACUUUGUACGUGAACUUUCAACUUUCAACAUUCAGACAGAUAUUACCGCGCCAACUAGAUCAUUUCCACUCUCCGUACUUAAUAUUGCAACGGCGUGUUUAGUGUUUAGCGUAAAUGUGCAACCGGUUAGGUCAUACAGUAUGAUAGUGAAAUUUAAAAAUAGUGAACGCGCAGAAGAACAUAAAUCGCCAGUGCGCAAUUCGGUGGGAGUUUCUAGGUGGGGCGGGUUAUACGAAAACAAUAGUCUGUAAAAACAAAUGUCGUGUACCAUUAAUUGCUGGAAAAGUUUUCUAACGAUGCGAUGUUUUAGGAUAAGCGGUGACGUCCAUUUCGGUUGUUGGUGGUAAUUAUUCAAAUUGAAAAGUGUUCGAAAGGGAAAAGCAACACAAAGCACGCGUUUUAAGCGUUACAUUUGACUGAAAAUCAGAAUAAGGAAUAAUACGCACGUGUGAUAAAGGUGCUAAAAUUGUGCUAAUGGCUAAGUGUGCUAAUUUUUUUGGUAAAUUAGUAAAAUCGUGGCGUUUUUUUUUGUUUUGGCGUUAGCCAGAAACCAAGUUCUAAUAUGUUAGAAUUUAUACAAAAUUGUAGAACACUCAAUCACUAAUAGGGCGAGUUUGGAUAAACCAUUUACAGGCGUGAACUAUCGUUAAUUAUUGGGAAACGGUAUUUUUCUAGGGUACAGAGGAAAGGCAGAUAAACAUUGUAAAACAAAAAGAAGACAGCAAACAAACAUUAUUUAUUAUUAGCUUCUCGUUAGCCUUUUUCUUGAACCAGAGAGGAAAAUGGAAGAGAGUAUAGACACAAUUGAAAGAAGGAAAGCGGAGGAUGACUGCAUUCAUCAGAAUGGAAAAAAACCAAUAAAACCAAUAAAAUACCA